rnacentral:tRNA from 1 species
AGUAAGGUCAGCUAAAUUAAGCUUUUGGGCCCAUACCCCAAAUAUGUUGGUUAACACUCCUUCCCCUACUA